rnacentral:rRNA from 1 species
UACGUAGGGUGCAAGCGUUAAUCGGAAUUAUUGGGCGUAAAGAGCUCGUAGGCGGUUUGUCGCGUCUGCUGUGAAAGACCGGGGCUCAACUCCGGUUCUGCAGUGGGUACGGGCAGACUAGAGUGCAGUAGGGGAGACUGGAAUUCCUGGUGUAGCGGUGAAAUGCGCAGAUAUCAGGAGGAACACCGAUGGCGAAGGCAGGUCUCUGGGCUGUAACUGACGCUGAGGAGCGAAAGCAUGGGGAGCGAACAGG